rnacentral:lncRNA from 1 species
CAGGACACACAGCUGGGGAGCAGCACAGUCAUGGUGAGAAAAAAGGCCCUGAGAAGGAAAAUGACUCAACUCAAGGACACCCAGCCAGUUGGUGAAGAAGUUGACACCAUGUUCUACAGGAAUAAAACUGACUCCGUGGAACUGUUGUGAAGUGGGGAGGAGUUGUUGCUUGGAGCUGCGCAGCUUGGGCCAAGCAUUUGCGUCUGGGAGUGCAUCUGUGAUUAGUUCUCAUCAACCCAAUGUGAGCAGAAGAGAUGUGUCUACUUCUAGGCCUGGCUCAUCAAAAAACCUCCCACGGACAAACCUUCGCGUUCUUUCCCUUGACGGAGAAGAGCACAGAGAGCUUGGAAGCCACGUGUUGAAGAUGGUGGAGCCACAAGACGGAAGGAUGCUGGGCUCCCCUAAUUGUGCUUGGCGGAACCCUCCGUCACUCAUUAGGGGUGCCAUGCUAGACUUGCUGUGAAUGAGAAAUAAACUUCUAUUGUAUUGGAGC